rnacentral:rRNA from 1 species
GGGUUUGAUCCUGGCUCAGGAUGAACGCUAGCGGCGUGCAUGACCCAUGCAAGUCGAACGGGUAAAGCUGAGGGAAGAAAGCGGGAGCGAGCGGAAGCAAGAAAUUGUGGAAGGGAGCGAGCGCUGGGAAGAAUCGAAUUUACCAGUGGCGAACGGGUGAGUAACACGUAGGUAAUCUACCUCGAGGUGGGGAAUAGCUGUUCGAAAGGGCAGGUAAUACCGCAUAAGAUCGCAAGAUGAAAGGGCUUCGGCCCGUCUCGAGAUGAGCCUGCGGCCGAUUAGCUAGUUGGUGAGGUAAAGGCCCACCAAGGCAAAGAUCGGUAGCUGGUCUGAGAGGACGAUCAGCCACACUGGAACUGAGACACGGUCCAGACUCCUACGGGAGGCAGCAGGGGGGAAUAUUGGACAAUGGGGGCAACCCUGAUCCAGCAACGCCGCGUGAGCGAAGAAGGCCUUCGGGUCGUAAAGCUCUUUUCUGAGGGAAGAGGAAGGACGGUACCUCAGGAAUAAGUCUCGGCUAACUACGUGCCAGCAGCCGCGGUAAAACGUAGGAGGCGAGCGUUAUCCGGAUUUACUGGGCGUAAAGGGCAAGUAGGCGGUGGCCAAAGUUGGGCGUGACAUCUCCCGGCUCAACUGGGAGGGGUCGUUCAAAACUAGGUCACUAGAGGGCAGGAGAGGGAAGCGGAAUUCCUAGUGUAGCGGUGGAAUGCUCAGAUAUUAGGAAGAACACCAGUGGCGAAGGCGGCUUCCUGGCCUGUACCUGACGCUGAGAGGCGAAAGCUAGGGUAGCAAACGGGCUUAGAUACCCCGGUAGUCCUAGCUGUAAACGUUGGAUACUGGGUAUUGGGGGUGACAAUGCCCUCAGUGCCGAAGCAAACGCGUUAAGUAUCCCGCCUGGGGACUACGGCCGCAAGGUUAAAACUCAAAGGAAUUGACGGGGGCCCGCACAAGCAGCGGAGCGUGUGGUUUA